rnacentral:lncRNA from 1 species
UCCGGUGGCGGCUAGGGUCGGCGCUGAUGCUCGUUGGCGGCGGAGCUCAAGGAGGUGCGCAGCCGCCUCGCUCAGGAGCAGCCCGUCGUCCGUACGUCGCUUCUCAGGAGCUGGUGCGCAGCCGCCCCAUCUGCUGCUGCUCGGUCCAACCGGCGAUGAUGCUGAUCGGCGAGCUCUCUCGGCGAUGAGGCGGAGCGGCGACUGCUGCUGGAUCGGCGAUGAGGCGGAUCGGCGAUGAAUCUCGACUUUUCUACUACUGCUGCUGGAUCUCUCUCCAGCCUCUCCGCCACGCCGAUCCUGACUGGAGGCGCUGCUGGAAUGAGGAGCUGCUGGAGGCGCUGUGGAGGCGCUGCUGGAGGCGCUGCUCUCGUUCCAAGUCAGAGAUGAACAGUAGAGAGGCGAAUGAAAGUCAGAGAUGAACAGUAGAGAGGCGCUGCUCUC